CUCGCUAUAUUAUUAGGAUAAAAAAAUUUUAUAGACACCAUUUCCCAUCUAACUUAGGCUAGGUUGCGUGUUAGCUACCAUUACGGCUCUUUUUGUAUAACCCCAGUGUCUACGUGACUAUAUAUCUUAAUGUUAUUGCUUUUUUUUUUUUAACGACCCAAUAUCUGAAAUAAUUCGAAUAGAGUUUUCUUUUUCUUUUUAAUCUCCAUUUGGGGUUUGUCUCCGUUAAUAAUUAUUUCUUAGAAGAGGUAAUAUUUUUUCUUUUCUUUUUUUUUUAUGCCUUUGGAUAUUAAGGAUCGAACCGAGAAUAGUAUUUUGGUAAUACUUUGUCGAUAAUAAUUUUACUGAUAAAGUUCGAUUUAAGGAACUGCUAUUCUAAGGGUAUUAUGUUGAGAGUAAUAUUUGUUUUCUCUUUUCCUUCGGGGAUUUUUUUUUUUAAUUAAAUUAAAAAAAGUGAGAGUAUGCAAUUAGUCACUAACACCUUUCUCACCGUCCAAUAAUGCUUCACAUGACCACACGUCUUUAUAUAAGUGAUUACAACGUGGCAAAAAGGGAUUGGAGAGAUAUGCCUCGGUUCAUGAGGAAGGAUUAUUAUAAGUGGUUAGUGCACGCCAGAAUCUUUUAUGUGGGUUGGAGAUGGAGAUAGUGGAGUCGCUUGGUUUUGAAGUUUGUUUUAUUAUUUUGUGUGUGAGUAUGCACACAUUUUCUAAUUUCCAUUAUUGUUUUUUUUUUUCUUUUUUCCAAGUCUAUAAAGAUGAUGUAUGCACGUGCCAUUGCCGUGGUUUUAUUAUACAUUAAUUAAUUUCUAGAUCUACUUUCUCUCAUUGCCUUUCUCUUGGUCUUUCUUCCAAUAUAAGAUUAUUUUGUUCCUUAAUCUAAUUAAAGAUAUGGAUAUUUACAAAUUGCAUAGUAAAUUAGUAAUGAAUAAAUUCCGCUUUCUCUUCUCACAUUUUAUUGGUGAGCAAAUUUUAAUACAUAGUUGUUGGAAA
rnacentral:lncRNA from 1 species